GUGGGAGGGGGCUUGCCCCCGAUAGCAGUGUGUCAGUCACAAAUAGGUUGGCUGAUACACCGCAAUCGGGGGCAAGCCCCCUCCCAC
rnacentral:misc_RNA from 1 species